AAUCCAUUUUGAAGCCUUUGAAAAACUUUCUUCUACACGACAAACAGUGGUGGUGAGAAUUACGGUUAGCCGUCGUCUUCUAUCUUCGCCAUGAACGAGCUUGAACAACAAUGGAGAUCAAAUCAAUUCAGCCGAAUCGUCCUCGAGAACAUUGGUAUCAAGCAGCCGUCGUUUCGUAUUUGGUACUUAACCCCAGACGUUACGAGUUUGAAGACUGGUCACUGCUCUUCCACCGUCCAUGUGCGGUUGCUCCGAUUCUGGGAAGAUGAUUUGGGCUGGAGGUUUUGAGCAGUUUCAUUAUAUUGCAAAGCAUCUUCAACGAGUCCCUGAUAUAUUAGUUUGCAACUACAUUAGAUAUCGUUCUUCAGUACUUUCAGAAUAACAAUGUGUGUCUUAGUGUUAUCAGGGAGACAACGAUGGUCUUGGAGAUGAUAUGAACGGUGGAAGCUCAACUUAGCUUAAUCUAAAAAUGUUAUGAAAGAUAAAGGCAAACCUGCUUUAUUUAACAAGAUUCUCCUAGAAGAGAUAAAUGGCAAGGAGUGAUUGAAGCUUCAAGUUACGUACAUGCUCCAUCAAUCAGGCAGAACUUGAUUAAAAUAAAACAUAAAAUUGUAGAUGAGAUUAGUGAACGUGUUAUCUUCAGUUACCAUUGUUCCUUAGACUUGAUAUACUAACGUUUUGUUUUUUUUAUAUGAAAGAAAUCUGAGAUCUCGCAGUUUGUGAA